CCCCGUAGCUCAGUUGGUAGAGCAUGGUGUUUGCAACGCCAGGGUUGUGGGUUCGAUUCCCAUGGGGG
rfam:Salmo salar isolate Sally breed double haploid chromosome ssa27, whole genome shotgun sequence.